rnacentral:rRNA from 1 species
CCGGCUCAGAUUGAACGCUGGCGGCAGGCCUAACACAUGCAAGUCGAGCGGAUGAAGGGAGCUUGCUCCUGNAUUCAGCGGCGGACGGGUGAGUAAUGCCUAGGAAUCUGCCUGGUAGUGGGGGACAACGUUUCGAAAGGAACGCUAAUACCGCAUACGUCCUACGGGAGAAAGCAGGGGACCUUCGGGCCUUGCGCUAUCAGAUGAGCCUAGGUCGGAUUAGCUAGUUGGUGAGGUAAUGGCUCACCAAGGCGACGAUCCGUAACUGGUCUGAGAGGAUGAUCAGUCACACUGGAACUGAGACACGGUCCAGACUCCUACGGGAGGCAGCAGUGGGGAAUAUUGGACAAUGGGCGAAAGCCUGAUCCAGCCAUGCCGCGUGUGUGAAGAAGGUCUUCGGAUUGUAAAGCACUUUAAGUUGGGAGGAAGGGUUGUAGAUUAAUACUCUGCAAUUU